rnacentral:rRNA from 1 species
GAUGAACGCUGGCGGCGUGCCUAAUACAUGCAAGUCGAGCGAACGGACGAGAAGCUUGCUUCUCUGAUGUUAGCGGCGGACGGGUGAGUAACACGUGGAUAACCUACCUAUAAGACUGGGAUAACUUCGGGAAACCGGAGCUAAUACCGGAUAAUAUUUUGAACCGCAUGGUUCAAAAGUGAAAGACGGUCUUGCUGUCACUUAUAGAUGGAUCCGCGCUGCAUUAGCUAGUUGGUAAGGUAACGGCUUACCAAGGCAACGAUGCAUAGCCGACCUGAGAGGGUGAUCGGCCACACUGGAACUGAGACACGGUCCAGACUCCUACGGGAGGCAGCAGUAGAGAAUCUUCCACAAUGGGCGAAAGCCUGACGGAGCAACGCCGCGUGAGUGAUGAAGGUCUUCGGAUCGUAAAACUCUGUUAUUAGGGAAGAACAUAUGUGUAAGUAACUGUGCACAUCUUGACGGUACCUAAUCAGAAAGCCACGGCUAACUACGUG